rnacentral:rRNA from 1 species
GACGAACCGAGCGAACGUUGUUCGGAAUCACUGGGCUUAAAGGGCGCGUAGGCGGGCUGCCAAGUUCGGGGUGAAAUCCUCCCGCUCAACGGGAGAACUGCCCCGAAUACUGGCGGUCUCGAGGAAGGUAGGGGCGUGCGGAACUAUGGGUGGAGCGGUGAAAUGCGUUGAUAUCCAUAGGAACUCCGGUGGCGAAGGCGGCACGCUGGACCUUUUCUGACGCUGAGGCGCGAAAGCCAGGGGAGCAAACGGG